rnacentral:misc_RNA from 1 species
GGAGCAUGAUUUUGUUGCUAAAGUUGCGACUUUGCCUAUCCAUGCAUUGAUUUACAAUGAUGAAAAAGACAUGCUUCGUCACUUCAAAACACUCCUAAUUCGAUCCUUGUUUGAUAGGAGUUUCAGAGCAUUUUCUCAGGUGUAUUUGCAAACUGUUUGUGCGUUGCAAUUUAUGUUAGUGUUGGAUUUGUUUGGAAACAUAGACUACUUACCUGAUGAAAUGGGAAAUCUGGUUCACCUCAGGUAUUUAGGUUUGAGUUUCACAAAUAUAAAGAAGCUUCCGCAUACCAUAGGUAAUCUUCAGAAACUACAAACUUU